rnacentral:lncRNA from 1 species
UGUAUAGGGUGUUCUAAAUAUGAUGAAGUGUGUAUGGAGGUUGUGAAUGAUCAAUAAGGGAUCAGUCACUCCUAAUAAGGGGAGCGAACAUCCUAUUGAUUUCAUAGGUCGAUGAUUUUGGAAGUCUUUGGCCCAAGCAGGAUGAUAAUUAGAAAAAAAUUCUAAUAUAUCAUCAACUGAAUCAUCAUUUUUUGAUCGAGAUACGUACAGAGAAGCAAUUG